CGCGGCCUAUCAGCUUGUUGGUGAGGUAAUGGCUCACCAAGGCGUCGACGGGUAGCCGGCCUGAGAGGGUGACCGGCCACACUGGGACUGAGACACGGCCCAGACUCCUACGGGAGGCAGCAGUGGGGAAUAUUGCACAAUGGGCGAAAGCCUGAUGCAGCAACGCCGCGUGAGGGAUGACGGCCUUCGGGUUGUAAACCUCUUUUAGCAGGGAAGAAGCGAGAGUGACGGUACCUGCAGAAAAAGCGCCGGCUAACUACGUGCCAGCAGCCGCGGUAAUACGUAGGGCGCAAGCGUUAUCCGGAAUUAUUGGGCGUAAAGAGCUCGUAGGCGGUUUGUCGCGUCUGCUGUGAAAUCCCGAGGCUCAACCUCGGGCCUGCAGUGGGUACGGGCAGACUAGAGUGCGGUAGGGGAGAUUGGAAUUCCUGGUGUAGCGGUGGAAUGCGCAGAUAUCAGGAGGAACACCGAUGGCGAAGGCGGAUCUCUGGGCCGUAACUGACGCUGAGGAGCGAAAGGGUGGGGAGCAAACAGGCUUAGAUACCCUGGUAGUCCACCCCGUAAACGUUGGGAACUAGUUGUGGGGUCCAUUCCACGGAUUCCGUGACGCAGCUAACGCAUUAAGUUCCCCGCCUGGGGAGUACGG
rnacentral:rRNA from 1 species